GAUGAAGAACGUAGCGAAAUGCGAUAAGUAAUGGGAAUUGCAGAAUUCAGUGAAUCAUCGAAUCUUUGAACGCACCUUGCGCUCCUUGGUAUUCCGAGGAGCAUGCCUGUUUGAGUGUCAUGAAAUUCUCAACCUUUUCAGCUUUCUUUGUUGAUCAGGCUUGGAUGUGGGAGUAUGCGGGCUUCUCAGAAGUCGGCUCUCCUGAAAUGCAUUAGCGGGACCUUUGUUGCCUGGCUUUGGUGUGAUAAUUAUCUACGCCAUUGUAGUCAAGCAGCUUAAAAUGAGGUUUCAGCUUCUAACCGUCUCCCCUGAGACAACUUUUUGACAAUUUGACCUCAAAUCAGGUAGGACUACCCGCUGAACUUAAGCAUAUCAAUAAGCGGAGGA
rnacentral:misc_RNA from 1 species